AUUGAACGCUGGCGGCAGGCCUAACACAUGCAAGUCGCACGAGUGGCGGACGUGUGAGUAAUGUCUGGGAAACUGCCUGAUGGAGGGGGAUAACUACUGGAAACGGUCGCUAAUACCGCAUACCAUCAGAUGUGCCCACAUGGGAUUAGCUAGUAGGUGAGGUAACGGCUCACCUAGGCGACGAUCCCUAGCUGGUCUGAGAGGAUGACCAGCAAGACUGGAACUGAGACACGGUCCAGACUAAUACGGGAGGCAGCAGGGGGGAAUAUUGCACAAUGGGCGAAAGCCUGAAGCAGACAUGCCGCGUGUAUGAAGAAGGCCUUCGGGUUGGAAAGUAAUUUCAGCGGGGAGGAGUUACCCGCAGAAGAAGCACCGGCUAACUCCGUGCCAGCCGCCGCGGUAAUAC
rnacentral:rRNA from 1 species